CUGGCAGGGAACCCUAUUGGUAAACACUGCAUGUCCGCGGCCUGCUCUGGGGUUACCUGGGAAGAGGAAGCACCGGAAAUGGCUGUCCAAGAAGCGCCCGUCCGGCUGUCCGGUGAACUGUCUGUUAUCAGAGAGAAACGCGUACUUUUUGAGGACUCCAGCCAGGGGAGCCGAUCAGUGCUGUGCUCAGCCAUCACCAGAGAAGCUUUCUUCUGCAGCAGAUGGAAACAAAUACAGAGACCCAUGGCCAGGAAUUAUGCAGAGACUUUGGGAAGACAUCCCUGGAUGUCUCCUGAGCACCUCCCUCCACUCCGGGGUCAGAGAGCUCCCCCCUCCUGGAAGAAGAUGCAAAGAGAGCAUAAGAGCCAGAGAGAAUAAAGGAUGCCAAGGAAACAAAGUCCUCCAAAUCGACAGGAAAAACGCACUUAUGAACUCACAGAAACCGAGGCAGCAUGGAUCUGUACCAGAUGGGGUCCUCGAGCUGGAGAAGCAGACACAUGGCCCCAUCCCUAACUCAGGAGCUAUGUCCAAUCGAUAACCACCUGCAAAUGAGACUUUAGUUUCCUCCAAGGGGGUGUCACUGAAAAACAAACCAUGCCCAGCAGCAGAUGGCCAACAAAAAAGGGAACUCAACAGCAACUGUGGUGACUUGAAUAGGGAUGGCCCCACAGACUCAACGCCUUUGUACCUUGGCUGAUAGGGAGUGGCACUAUUAGGAGGCGUGGUCUUGUCGGAGUAGGUGCGGCCUUACAGGAGGAAGUGCGUCACUGUGGGGGUGGGCUUUGAGGUUGGCCAUGCUUAAGCUUUGCCCAGCGUGAAACACCGUCUCUCCUUGUUGCCUGCCGUCUCAGCUCUGUCUGCAGCACCACGUCUGCCUGCACGCUGGCAUGCUUUCCGCCAUGAUGAUAAUGGACUGAACCUCUGAAACUGUAAGCCAGCCCCAACUAAAUAUGUUCCUUUGUAAGAGAUGCUGUGGUCAUGGUGUCUCUUUACAGCAAUGAGACACUAACUCAGACAACAUCUUUGGAGAUUUCUUGUCUUAUAGUGUUGGGUCAGGGCUCUUUCUUCCUUUCUUUUUUAGUUUUAUU
rnacentral:lncRNA from 1 species